rnacentral:rRNA from 1 species
CCCUUAGAUGUUCUGGGCCGCACACGCGCUACACUGAAGGAGGCAGCAUGUACUCCUGGAUCGAAAGAUUUGGGUAACCCGCGAAUCUCCUUCGUGCUAGGGAUUGAGGUUUGCAAUUAUCCUUCAUGAACGAGGAAUUCCCAGUAAGUGCAAGUCAUAAGCUUGCGCUGACUACGUCCCUGCCCUUUGUACACACCGCCCGUCGCUACUACCGAUUGAAUGAUUUAGUGAGGACUUCGGACUGGGACCGAUGCGGCUUUCGGGCUGCGUCGGUAUUCUGGAAAGAUGUCCAAACUGUAUCAUUUAGAGGAAGUAAAAGUCGUANCA